rnacentral:rRNA from 1 species
ACGAGUGGCGGACGGGUGAGUAACACGUGGGUAACCUGCCCUUAAGUGGGGGAUAACAUUUGGAAACAGAUGCUAAUACCGCAUAGAUCCAAGAACCGCAUGGUUCUUGGCUGAAAGAUGGCGUAAGCUAUCGCUUUUGGAUGGACCCGCGGCGUAUUAGCUAGUUGGUGAGGUAAUGGCUCACCAAGGCGAUGAUACGUAGCCGAACUGAGAGGUUGAUCGGCCACAUUGGGACUGAGACACGGCCCAAACUCCUACGGGAGGCAGCAGUAGGGAAUCUUCCACAAUGGACGCAAGUCUGAUGGAGCAACGCCGCGUGAGUGAAGAAGGCUUUCGGGUCGUAAAACUCUGUUGUUGGAGAAGAAUGGUCGGCAGAGUAACUGUUGUCGGCGUGACGGUAUCCAACCAGAAAGCCACGGCUAACUACGUGCCAGCAGCCGCGGUAAUACGUAGGUGGCAAGCGUUAUCCGGAUUUAUUGGGCGUAAAGCGAGCGCAGGCGGUUUUUUAAGUCUGAUGUGAAAGCCCUCGGCUUAACCGAGGAAGCGCAUCGGAAACUGGGAAACUUGAGUGCAGAAGAGGACAGUGGAACUCCAUGUGUAGCGGUGAAAUGCGUAGAUAUAUGGAAGAACACCAGUGGCGAAGGCGGCUGUCUGGUCUGUAACUGACGCUGAGGCUCGAAAGCAUGGGUAGCGAACAGGAUUAGAUACCCUGGUAGUCCAUGCCGUAAACGAUGAAUGCUAGGUGUUGGAGGGUUUCCGCCCUUCAGUGCCGCAGCUAACGCAUUAAGCAUUCCGCCUGGGGAGUACGACCGCAAGGUUUGAAACUCAAAGGAAUUGACGGGGGCCCGCACAAGCGGUGGGAGCAUGUGGGUUUAAUUCGAAGCAACGCGAAGAACCCUACCAGGUCUUGACAUCUUUUGAUCACCUGAGAGAUCAGGUUUCCCCUUCGGGGGCAAAAUGACAGGUGGUGCAUGGUUGUCGUCAGCUCGUGUCGUGAGAUGUUGGGUUAAGUCCCGCAACGAGCGCAACCCUUAUGACUAGUUGCCAGCAUUUAGUUGGGCACUCUAGUAAGACUGCCGGUGACAAACCGGAGGAAGGUGGGGAUGACGUCAAAUCAUCAUGCCCCUUAUGACCUGGGCUACACACGUGCUACAAUGGAUGGUACAACGAGUUGCGAGACCGCGAGGUCAAGCUAAUCUCUUAAAGCCAUUCUCAGUUCGGACUGUAGGCUGCAACUCGCCUACACGAAGUCGGAAUCGCUAGUAAUCGCGGAUCAGCACGCCGCGGUGAAUACGUUCCCGGGCCUUGUACACACCGCCCGUCACACCAUGAGAGUUUGUAACACCCGAAGCCGGUGGCGUAACCCUUUUAGGGAGCGAGCCGUCUAAGGUG